GUGAGAGGACUUAGAUUUGAUUUGAAUAUAAUACAUUUGAAAAAACAAAAUCUAUGAUUUUAUCGAGGUCUUGAGCAGCAAAACAACGUAAAUUUAGCAGUUUCGGGUAAAUGAUCCAGAUUAACUGAUGCGAUGACUUCUGUUGGAAUGGAUCUACAAUGACUGUUUGCUACAGCGCUGCAUAUUUUAUGUCUCUUGUUGAUCCAGUUCAGUUCACACAGCUCUCUGAAUACAUGUUGAUGGUUUGAAUCAGAUGAUGAGAAAAUGAUCAGUGCUGGACUCAAGUAUAGGUGUCUGCAGCACAGUGACGGGAGUUACCAGAUCAGUGGGCGAGGCCAUAACCGAGGGGCGUUUUCAACCGCGUUACCUGAUUUGCUCACAGACUCGCUGGACAAGGGUAAAGAAAUACAGGAGAACUGAAUCAUGGGAGGAGGUCCCUGCACAUGAGGAUGAGUGUGUCAUCUUCACUAAGUCCUCACUGUUGUCUGUACUCAUCCCUUCUCAUCAUUCACCUUCUGAUUGAUUAUUAAUGUCUGGUUGAACUUGAGUAAGUCAUCUAAACUAAGGUUGUUCAUGUUCCUAAAUUAUAAUCCGCAAAACAAGAAGUUCCUACCGUCUGGUGUCCUGUCGACGGUGUGCCACGUCUCAAAAGGAUUGGCCAUGACCUCUUCUAACUCAAUGUGUUGGAGAAUGUCUGUUUUAAGACAAACAUUUGUGAGUGGGAAAAAAGCUCCACUCGACGCAUGCCGCAGACACCUGCUGGUCAAAAUGUGUAAAUGCAAGUAAGAAGAGUCCAAACAUGACACAUUUUGCAAAUGUUCAAGUGUAAUCUAUUACAUGUAAUCUACAAAUCAUUAAAUACAUAAAGUGUCUGUAUAAUAAUAUAGUCUUGUUU